UCUUUUCCUCUCACUUCUACCCGAACUACUCAAGAAAAGCUUCCCUCGGUUUCACACUUCUAGCUUCCCAGUUCCCACCGUCUCCCUUCCUCUCAAUUUUGGCCGGACGAUUCAAGAAAAGCCUGGCCUGCUGCUUCCUCUGCAAAACCUUCAUCUCCCUGCAGAAGUUCUUCUCCGAUCCAGAUUUGGUCAGUUUUCCCCAAUUUCUCUCUCGAUCUUCUUUUUGCCUUGAAAUUUUUUUGCUAAUUCUGAUAUGGAUUUGGUUUCUGCUACAGUUCUGUGGUAUUGAAAUCGGUUUGUGAUUAAGGCUCCGAACCUGAAUAGCAUAACCAUAACAGGUGUUUUUAUGUAUUGGCUUCGUCGUGAGCUUUAUAACCAUUUGCUUGCUAGGGUUUCGUUUUGGGUUCGGUUUGUUUUUGUGUUUUUUUGUUGUCAAUUUCAUGUUUGUUUUCAUGUAUUUCUGUUAUUUUUUUCCCUCUGUUUCUGCUUACAUUGAUAUUGAUAUUGAUUAGAUGCUUUGAAUUGACUCUAUUUACUUUAUAUAUAGCUUUGUUUCACUGGGUUGUCAGUUGUUAUUAUAAGACCAUGUAUUACAUUAUACGAUUAAUUGAUGUUUGAAUGAUUGUGAGUAGUACUUUCUUUGGACUUUUCUCCAUCCUUAGUUCUUGGAUUGCAGAAAGUUCCUUCAGUGCACAAUGCAAGGUCCCUGGAGUUGUAUGAGUUACUACAGUAAUGAUAUUGCAGAAGGAAGAUGAAAAAAUUACAGAAAAGUCUAGCAAGCUAGAUAAUGCUUAUUGCUUUUUACAUGAAUCUUAUGCUGGCUUUGUUUCGAGGAAAAAAACACGGAAAUUACGUGUCUUCUAUCUUUCUUAAUGUGUUUCUCAUGACCACGCUAAAGAAGUUUUCAUUUAAAAGGUUUGCCAUAUGGGCAUGUUUCAUGACGUUGUUCUAUCUACUGUAUGGUGUUCACUCGACUUAUAAGGUAGAGGAGGGGGAGAUGCAAUAAACAGAUUUGCAAAUCUAGGCCAACCAUAAUCCUUCAUGUUUAUGUAUAAUCAUCCUUCUUUUCCUGUAAAGCCUUUAUUUUUUUUUAUUUAUAUUAAUUGAUGUGGUUUAGGCCUAGCUUUUCAUCAAUUUUACUAAUCUGAGGUUCAAGGCCUUCAUAUAACAACUCUGGGUUUGCGUGCUAUGUGCUCACUCUUCAAUCUCAGUUUCAGUUUCUUUUCUUUUUUGCAGGUGGAGACUCUUUUGAUCUUUUUGAUCAAGUUUCGCAGUCAAGUUGAUUGUAUUCUUUGUGUACCAGCUCUGAAAAGGUACUUUAAUUGCAUUGAGUUUUGCUUCGGUCUUUUCAGUUACUAUGCAUGUAAUAUGGAAGGUAGCAACUAUGGUUUUUGUUAUAUCAAGCAAUAGGUCUCUAUUACAAAUAGGAAAACAACAAAAUUAUAAAGUCAUUUUGAUGUGGUAGAGGAGAGGGAGAUGCAAUAAACCGAUUUGCAAAUCUAGGCCAACCAUAAUCCUUCAUGUUUAUGUAUAAUCAUCCUUCUUUUCCUAUAUAGCCUUUCUUUGUUUUUAUUUAUAUUACUUGAUGUGGUUUAGGCCCAGCUUUUCAUCAAUUUUACUAAUUUGAGGUUCAAGGCCUUCAUAUAGCAACUCUGGGUUUGUGUGUUAUGUGUUCACUCUUCAAUCUCAGUUUCAGUUUUCUUUCUUUUUUGCAUGUGGAGACUCUUUUGAUCUUUGUGAUCCAAGUUUUGCAGUCAAGUUGAUUGUAUUCUUUGCGUACCAGCUCUGAAAAGGUACUUUAAUUGCAUCGAGUUUUGCUUUGGUCCUUUCGAGUUACUAUGCAUGUAAUAUGGAAGGUAGCAACUAUAUAUGGUUUUUGUUAUAUCAAGUAAUCGGUCUUUAUUACAAAUAGGAAAAACUAUUUUCCCGACGUUCAUUCUGUAGCUGUGAAUUAUGAUUAUUUCUUUGGUCUUCCUGAAAACAACUCAGAAUGAGAUAUCACAUAGUUUGAGGCUAAAAGGCUUUGCAGGCUAGCAUGUGUGAGAAUCAAUUUGGUUUGUCAAAGUUUGGAUUUUGGAUCUGGAAUCGGGAUUUUUGUGGGCUUUGUUGUUUUAAUAGCUAUUGAAAGAUAGUUUCUUAGUGGCCAUUGUGUGAACUAGCGUUGGUACAUGAUCGUAAGAUAAUUUGUUUUUGUGAUUGACUAAAUGGGCACAAACGUUUGUCGUUCCAAUUUUACAAUCAGUUGUUUGAUUGUUAGAUUGUCGGUUUUGUUUGGAUUUGGUUUUUUGGUUUUUGGGUUCCUUGAAAUUCGGAAAUUUGGGUUUUGGGUUUCAGAAUAGGUUAAAGGAGUUUUCAUGAUUUUGAAGCCAAACCCUUCCAAGGACCUACGUUAGAGAAAAAAACGGUGGGGCUUUGUAGACUAACAAUUAAGUCCCUUCAGGGACCAUCCAUGGAGUAUGCAGAAGUUGAAGACCUUUUAUUUGUUUAGUCCUAGAAAACAUUAAAUAGUUCAGCUAUUUUUUUCAUUUUACUGAAAUCUAGAUUUUAUCAAACAAUCAAAUUUGAAAAAGGAAUUGACGCCUUGGUUGUUGCCUCAUUCUUUUCUUUAAUCUCGAUUUAAUUUUGAGUCAUUGGAGGUGUCUCUUUGUGUUUGUUAUGGAUCAGGUUUUGCAUAAAAAAGGGAUCUUCAGUUUUUGCACAUAUUUUUGACUGAUCAUGUUUGUGACAUUCUCAACUGCUCUUGCAAAUUAAAUUGUCAUUUUCCCUUAUCAGUUCCCAAUUUGUUCAGUUACAACUUAAAUGAGGGCAAUAGCCUUAACUGCGAGUUGUCAGGGUAAGUGACAGUGACAUUCACAGAAUGAAAGCUGAACUAGCACUCAUCAAAUUUUUGUUUUUAAAUUCAGUUGUGCAUGAGAAGAUGAAUGUUGAUUGUUAGAUACCUUAAUUGAUACAAAAGCUACAUAAACUUCUUUGACAAUUUAUAUAACAUUGUCAUAUCUUCUAAAUAAUGACAUGUUUAUACUUCAUGUUGCAGAAGAGUAGUUGUGAUGCAUAUAUGAAUGCAGAAAAAAAUGAAACAAACGUCUAUCAUAGUUGUUCUACGAGUAAAUACAUCUUACUGAUUAAAUUUCUUUUUUGUCUUAUGUGACGUCCAUUUUUUUUUCAGGUUGCAAUUGAACUUCCUUACAUUUUCCCCAAGCAAUUGUCAUUUCUUCAGAGCCUAUGAUGUAAUGUACUUAUGUGCAAAUACUACAAUUCUUUAUUUCAGCUAACCUGCAGGGAGAAAUUUGACCAGCCAAUAGCAAACUCAGCAUUUUUUGUAUUUUAUAAUUUCCAAUAUGCUGCUUUUGUUAAGUUUGGUGUUGAAAUGAGGAUACUGGAUGACGGUGUACAUGUACCUGUAUAGAGCUAUAAUGGUUGUAAAGUGUAUUGAUGAUAUAUGAUUUUCUUACACUCCUGAGUACCAUGAAUUUCUCAUGAAGUUGGGAAUAAAGUCAAUGUCGGUUUUGAU
rnacentral:lncRNA from 1 species